GUGGGGAAUUUUGGACAAUGGGGGCAACCCUGAUCCAGCCAUGCCGCGUGCGGGAAGAAGGCCUUCGGGUUGUAAACCGCUUUUGUCAGGGAAGAAAUCCUUUGGGUUAAUACCUCGGAGGGAUGACGGUACCUGAAGAAUAAACACCGGCUAACUACGUGCCAGCAGCCGCGGUAAUACGUAGGGUGCGAGCGUUAAUCGGAAUUACUGGGCGUAAAGCGUGCGCAGGCGGUUUUGUAAGACAGGUGUGAAAUCCCCGGGCUUAACCUGGGAACUGCACUUGUGACUGCAAGGCUGGAGUACGGCAGAGGGGGAUGGAAUUCCGCGUGUAGCAGUGAAAUGCGUAGAUAUGCGGAGGAACACCGAUGGCGAAGGCAAUCCCCUGGGCCUGUACUGACGCUCAUGCACGAAAGCGUGGGGAGCAAACAGGAUUAGAAACCCGGGUAGUCC
rnacentral:rRNA from 1 species